UACGAAGGGGGCUAGCGUUGCUCGGAAUUACUGGGCGUAAAGGGCGCGUAGGCGGUUCGUACAGUCAGACGUGAAAUUCCUGGGCUCAACCUGGGGGCUGCUUUUGAUACGUGCGGACUUGAGUGCGGAAGAGGGUCGUGGAAUUCCCAGUGUAGAGGUGAAAUUCGUAGAUAUUGGGAAGAACACCGGUGGCGAAGGCGGCGACCUGGUCCGAUACUGACGCUGAGGCGCGAAAGCGUGGGGAGCAAACAGG
rnacentral:rRNA from 1 species